rnacentral:rRNA from 1 species
AGCAGCUGCGGUAAUUCCAGCUCCAAUAGCGUAUAUUAAAGUUGUUGCAGUUAAAAAGCUCGUAGUUGAAUUUCGGGGUUAGUAGGUUGGUCAUGCCUCUGGUAUGUACUGGUCUCACUGAUUCCUCCUUCCUGAUGAGCCGUAAUGCCAUUAAUUUGGUGUUGCGGGGAAUUUGGACUGUUACUUUGAAAAAAUUAGAGUGUACUA